AUUGAACGCUGGCGGCAGGCUUAACACAUGCAAGUCGAGCGGGGUGAUGGUGCUUGCACUAUCACUUAGCGGCGGACGGGUGAGUAAUGCUUAGGAAUCUGCCUAUUAGUGGGGGACAACAUCUCGAAAGGGAUGCUAAUACCGCAUACGUCCUACGGGAGAAAGCAGGGGAUCACUUGUGACCUUGCGACACUAGAUGAGCCUAAGUCGGAUUAGCUAGUUGGUGGGGUAAAGGCCUACCAAGGCGACGAUCUGUAGCGGGUCUGAGAGGAUGAUCCGCCACACUGGGACUGAGACACGGCCCAGACUCCUACGGGAGGCAGCAGUGGGGAAUAUUGGACAAUGGGGGGAACCCUGAUCCAGCCAUGCCGCGUGUGUGAAGAAGGCCUUAUGGUUGUAAAGCACUUUAAGCGAGGAGGAGGCUCUUUUGGUUAAUACCCAAGAUGAGUGGACGUUACUCGCAGAAUAAGCACCGGCUAACUCUGUGCCAGCCGCCGCCGUAA
rnacentral:rRNA from 1 species